rnacentral:rRNA from 1 species
CCUACGGGGGGCAGCAGUGGGGAAUAUUGCGCAAUGGGCGAAAGCCUGACGCAGCGACGCCGCGUGAGGGAUGACGGUCUUCGGAUCGUAAACCUCUGUCAGCAGGGAAGUACGGUCACUGUGCUAAUCAGCAGUGAAUUGACGGUACCUGCAAAGGAAGCACCGGCUAACUCCGUGCCAGCAGCCGCGGUAAUACGGAGGGUGCGAGCGUUAAUCGGAAUUACUGGGCGUAAAGGGCUCGUAGGCGGUAUGUCAAGUCAAGGGUGAAAUCCCCGCGCUCAACGUGGGAACUGCCUUUGAAACUGGCAGACUGGAGUGUGUGAGAGGAUAGUGGAAUUCCAGGUGUAGGAGUGAAAUCCGUAGAUAUCUGGAGGAACAUCAGUGGCGAAGGCGACUAUCUGGCACAUAACUGACGCUGAGGAGCGAAAGCGUGGGUAGCAAACAGGAUUAGAUACCCCAGUAGUC